rnacentral:rRNA from 1 species
AUACGUAGGUGGCAAGCGUUGUCCGGAAUGACUGGGCGUAAAGGGCGUGUAGGCGGCGGUGUAAGUCUGGAGUGAAAGUCCCGCAUUCAAUGUGGGAAUUGCUUUGGAUACUGCAGUGCUAGAGUGCGGAAGAGGUAAGUGGAAUUCCCAGUGUAGCGGUGAAAUGCGUAGAGAUUGGGAGGAACACCAGUGGCGAAGGCGACUUACUGGGCCGUAACUGACGCUGAGGCGCGAAAGCGUGGUGAGCGAACAGGAUUAGAUACCCUGGUAGUCCACGCUGUAAACGAUGAAUGCUAGGUGUUGCGGGUAUCGACCCCUGCAGUGCCGGAGUAAACACAAUAAGCAUUCCGCCUGGGGAGUACGGCCGCAAGGUUGAAACUCAAAGGAAUUGACGGGG